rnacentral:misc_RNA from 1 species
GUGCAUCGCGAAGGAACCCACGCGUAGUGGCACGGGCCGAUCGAUGGGCCUCACUGCAGAGGCGAUCGCCCCAUCGGAGGGGCACUUUAGACACCACUACUCGCUGGGCGACGAGAUCGGCAAGGGCGCGUACGCCGUCGUUUUCCGCUGCAACCACCGAGAGACGAAGGCCGUGUACGCGGUGAAGAUCGUGGACAAGAGAAAGGCGGGACCGAAGGACAUCGAUGACAUCACGCAUGAGAUUGACGUGAUGGGCCGCAUCGGCUACCACCCAAACGUGGUGCAGAUGAUUGAGUACUUCUCCACGGAGCGGCGCUUUUACAUCAUCCUCGAUCUCUUGUCGGGCGGCAUGCUGUUUGACCGCAUCAUCGAGCUGAAGCACUACAGCGAGUCCAACGCCUCAGUGCUGGUGCGCAACGUGCUCUCCGGACUGGCGCAUAUUCACUCAAGAGGCGUCAUACACCGUGACUUGAAGCCGGAGAACCUGCUGCUGCGCUACGCGGCCUCGCCGUCGACGUCGCCAAACUCGAACUUGACGGACGUGUGCCUCGCAGACUUUGGGUUGGCCGGGUACGUGCCGAGCACCACCUGCUGCGGGUCCCCCUCGUACAUCGCGCCAGAGGUGAUCAGCGUGGGCUACUACCGAACCCGCAAGGAGCCGUACGACGCCAAGUGCGAUAUCUGGUCCAUCGGCGUCAUUACAUACAUCUUGCUCAGCGGCAAGAUGCCAUUCCACGGCAACAGCUUCAAGGAAACAUUUGAGCUCAUUGUCAGCAAUCGCUGGUCCUUCAACAGCGACACGUGGGCGAGCGUCACCCCAACAGCGAAGGACUUCAUUCAGGCCUGUCUUACCUACGACCCGGUGGAGCGCCCGACGGCGCUGGAGCUGCUGCAGCAUCCGUGGCUCGCCAACGAGCAGCCCCACGUGCACCUCGGGCGCAGCCUUGAGUCACUGCGUGAUCUCACAAAGAAGAAGGUGAAGGCGGCAGUGCAGGUAUUCUGCUGGACGCAGAGCCUCCUCGGUCCGCUGGACUGGACGCCGCCGUUCAUGCGUUUCCUGCGGCACACCGACAAGUUCUCCACGGUCCUUACACACCAGUCGCAGACGGACCCGAAGCAGGUGCACACCGUGGACUUUAGCAAGGCGCUGGAUCACAAGAAGCCCGGCUGGCGCAUCCAGGACUGCUGCACAUGUCCUUCGGAGCAGGUCUGUCGGCACAUCCAGAACGUACAUGAGUACCUCUUCGUCGGCAAGCGCUCCAUGGAGGUGUACCCGUUCAUCGACGAGCUGCGGAUGAUGCACGAGGAGGCUGAGGAUAGCCUCACGGCGGACCCGCGCGACGCCGAGGCGAGGAAGCGGCUAGACCAGGUCAACUACCUCAUUGAGGCUGCCUGCGUCUUCUCGGACGAGCUGGCAAAGGUGCCGGCGGGGGAGCUCAAACCGAACCUGAUGCUGGACGGAUCGCGCAACACUCUCUUUCGUGCGCUGGGCGGCUCUCGCAGUGUGACGAAGACGUGGCAUGGGUCGGAUAAGGAGGAUGUGGCGCACCGAGUGGUGGAGAAGAUGCGCGCUCAGAAGUUGGCCUCGCCGGCGACAGGGAAGACGACCAAGGCAGCUGCCAUGCCGCCGUCCUCGACGCCCACCCCCAAGCCGUCCAGCAAACCAUCAUCAAGUAAGAGGAUCACAACAACUCCAAACGCGGGCACGCCGAGCAGACGCAGCUGACGGCAGUGAACGGCGGGGGAGGGGGUGUCGUGCGGCCGUCGCCACGGCGAUGUGAUCUUCGCAUCUGAGUGUGCCUGUACUCGUCUGAGGGGGAGAGGGGUGGGCGAUUUCGCUGACGGUGGCGCCCUUGCCCUUUUCUCGUUCUCUCACGCGCGUACAGGCCUACCCACGCACGUGCGCACUGCCCCUCUUCUUUCUGUUGAGUGUUGCUCUCUUCGCUGCG